AUUGAACGCUGGCGGCAUGCCUUACACAUGCAAGUCGAACGGCAGCGCGGGAGCAAUCCUGGUGGCGAGUGGCGAACGGGUGAGUAAUAUAUCGGAACGUGCCCAGUCGUGGGGGAUAACGCAGCGAAAGCUGUGCUAAUACCGCAUACGAUCUACGGAUGAAAGCGGGGGAUCGCAAGACCUCGCGCGAUUGGAGCGGCCGAUAUCAGAUUAGCUAGUUGGUGAGGUAAAGGCUCACCAAGGCGACGAUCUGUAGCUGGUCUGAGAGGACGACCAGCCACACUGGAACUGAGACACGGUCCAGACUCCUACGGGAGGCAGCAGUGGGGAAUUUUGGACAAUGGGCGAAAGCCUGAUCCAGCAAUGCCGCGUGCAGGAUGAAGGCCUUCGGGUUGUAAACUGCUUUUGUACGGAACGAAACGGUGAGCUCUAAUACAGUUUGCUAAUGACGGUACCGUAAGAAUAAGCACCGGCUAACUACGUGCCAGCCGCCGCAGUAA
rnacentral:rRNA from 1 species